CUCUAAUUCUGAUCCUGCCCUGGGCCCUUCUCACUGCCUGACUUCCUGCUGGAUGACAGAAGGGAUCUCACAGGCUGAAGGAGUCAGCUGCGGGGGCUGGGCUUAGAGAGGAGGAGGCUCCCCCUGCAGUCGGCAAACCCGGGAGGCUGGAGAUGGAGGCUGGAGAUGCUUGUGCCACGUCUGCUUGCUGGGGCGCAGGAGAAGGGCUGUAGAGUGUCGGGACCCCGGCAACUCUGCCGCAGAACACCCCCGAAAAAACUUGGCAAAAAUCAGCAACGUGAUAUCUCAAAGAGGAGACAGCACCAGGGGCUCCGGGGGACAGCAGGUCCAGGUGAUGCGGCAGAAGUGGCUCUCAGAGGCCGUCAGAGAGACCAGGAUCUGAGACUCUGGUCUUAGGGACACGACUGAGGGUCCCCUUCCACCUAAGUGCCGGGAUGGAAAAGGAACAAGGAUUUUUCCACACACCCCUAAGCAAAACCAGCUGAGCCGAGUUAACUCAAACUUCUCAAAAACCAUU